GAUAAAUCCAUUUUAUCUUAAGAGGAACCAAGUCAGUCAACUUAAUUGAUGUCUGAGGCACCUUCAGCAAACGUCUCCAAUGUGAAAUAUUCUUUGGAUGCUGGAGCACUAAUGCAGUGCAAAUGAAAGAUAAUACCUCCAGCUGAGCUCACUUUCACAAGAAUUGGAUCUUCCACUGAUCCGAGCUUGUCUGUUACAGCAUUGAUGACAUCCCUUACAGAAGCUGCUACGAGGACACGGAUUGUGAUAAAAAACUGAGUCAACUCUGGAUGGAAAUCUGCCAAAUCAUCCUAUUCUGCACAUGGCACAGGCAUCAAUCCAGAGAUUACUACCCUUGAGGUCCCUUAACACUCAAGAAGUGAAGGUAAAUCUGGAACAAAAUAUCCAGCAGGUGGAUGCACAGCAGCACUGGACAACACUGAGAAAUAUGUCAUUCUGGAUGCAGAUACUCCUAGGGUGCGGAUGGGGAAGCUCCAAUGUCGUUUUAUAAGAGUUCAAUAGAAAAGAGUACAGUCUUAGAGAUCUGGCAAACAGCAAAUGGGCAGCACGGUAGCGUAGUGGUUAGUGCGAUACUAUCACAGCACCAGCGACCCGGGUUCAAUUCCGGCCACUGUCUGUCAGGAGUUUGUACACUCUCCCCGUGUCUGCAUGG